GACGAACGCUGGCGGCGUGCCUAAUACAUGCAAGUUGAGCGAUGAAGAUUGGUGCUUGCACCAAUUUGAAGAGCAGCGAACGGGUGAGUAACGCGUGGGGAAUCUGCCUUUGAGCGGGGGACAACAUUUGGAAACGAAUGCUAAUACCGCAUAACAACUUUAAACAUAAGUUUUAAGUUUGAAAGAUGCAAUUGCAUCACUCAAAGAUGAUCCCGCGUUGUAUUAGCUAGUUGGUGAGGUAAAGGCUCACCAAGGCGAUGAUACAUAGCCGACCUGAGAGGGUGAUCGGCCACAUUGGGACUGAGACACGGCCCAAACUCCUACGGGAGGCAGCAGUAGGGAAUCUACGGCAAUGGACGAAAGUCUGACCGAGCAACGCCGCGUGAGUGAAGAAGGUUUUCGGAUCGUAAAACUCUGUUGGUAGAGAAGAACGUUGGUGAGAGUGGAAAGCUCAUCAAGUGACGGUAACUACCCAGAAAGGGACGGCUAACUACGUG
rnacentral:rRNA from 1 species